UGCCAGCAGCCGCGGUAAGACAGAGGGUGCAAACGUUGCUCGGAAUUACUGGGCGUAAAGCGCGUGUAGGCGGAUCGGUAAGUCAGAUGUGAAAGCCCUGGGCUCAACCCGGGAACUGCAUUUGAAACUGCCAGUCUAGAGUGAUGGAGAGGGAAGCGGAAUUCCUGGUGUAGAGGUGAAAUUCGUAGAUAUCAGGAGGAACACCGGUGGCGAAGGCGGCUUCCUGGACAUUUACUGACGCUGAGACGCGAAAGCGUGGGGAGCAAACAGGAUUAGAUA
rnacentral:rRNA from 1 species